rnacentral:rRNA from 1 species
AGUGAACGCUGGCGGUAGGCCUAACACAUGCAAGUCGAACGGCAGCACAGUAAGAGCUUGCUCUUACGGGUGGCGAGUGGCGGACGGGUGAGGAAUACAUCGGAAUCUACUUUUUCGUGGGGGAUAACGUAGGGAAACUUACGCUAAUACCGCAUACGACCUACGGGUGAAAGCAGGGGAUCUUCGGACCUUGCGCGAUUGAAUGAGCCGAUUUCGGAUUAGCUGGUUGGCGGGGUAAAGGCCCACCAAGGCGACGAUCCGUAGCUGGUCUGAGAGGAUGAUCAGCCACACUGGAACCGAGACACGGUCCAGACUCCUACGGGAGGCAGCAGUGGGGAAUAUUGGACAAUGGGCGAAAGCCUGAUCCAGCCAUACCGCGUGGGUGAAGAAGGCCUUCGGGUUGUAAAGCCCUUUUGUUGGGAAAGAAAAGCAGCAGGUUAAUACCCCGCUGUUCUGACGGUACCCAAAGAAUAAGCACCGGCUAACUUCGUG